UACAGAGGGUGCAAGCGUUGUUCGGAAUUACUGGGCGUAAAGCGCGUGUAGGCUGCGGUAUAAGUCGGAUGUGAAAGCCCUCAGCUUAACUGAGGAAGUGCAUCCGAUACUGUAUCGCUAGAGUGUCGGAGGGGGUGGCGGAAUUCCCGGUGUAGAGGUGAAAUUCGUAGAUAUCGGGAGGAACACCUGUGGCGAAGGCGGCCACCUGGACGACGACUGACGCUGAGACGCGAAAGCGUGGGUAGCAAACAGG
rnacentral:rRNA from 1 species